rnacentral:rRNA from 1 species
UAGGGAAUCUUCCGCAAUGGGCGAAAGCUUGACGGAGCAACGCCGCGUGAGUGAUGAAGGUCUUCGGAUCGUAAAACUCUGUUAUUAGGGAAGAACAUAUGUGUAAGUAACUGUGCACAUCUUGACGGUACCUAAUCAGAAAGCCACGGCUAACUACGUGCCAGCAGCCGCGGUAAUACGUAGGUGGCAAGCGUUAUCCGGAAUUAUUGGGCGUAAAGCGCGCGUAGGCGGUUUUUUAAGUCUGAUGUGAAAGCCCACGGCUCAACCGUGGAGGGUCAUUGGAAACUGGAAAACUUGAGUGCAGAAGAGGAAAGUGGAAUUCCAUGUGUAGCGGUGAAAUGCGCAGAGAUAUGGAGGAACACCAGUGGCGAAGGCGACUUUCUGGUCUGUAACUGACGCUGAUGUGCGAAAGCGUGGGGAUCAAACAGGAUUAGAUACCCUGGUAGUCCACGCCGUAAACGAUGAGUGCUAAGUGUUAGGGGGUUUCCGCCCCUUAGUGCUGCAGCUAACGCAUUAAGCACUCCGCCUGGGGAGUACGACCGCAAGGUUG